AUUGAACGCUGGCGGAAUGCUUUACACAUGCAAGUCGAACGGCAGCACGGGGGCAGCCCUGGUGGCGAGUGGCGAACGGGUGAGUAAUACAUCGGAACGUGCCCGGUCGUGGGGGAUAACGUAGCGAAAGUUACGCUAAUACCGCAUACGAUCUGAGGAUGAAAGCGGGGAACUUCGGGCCCCGCGCCGUUGGGACGGCCGAUGUCAGAUUAGGUAGUUGGUGGGGUAAAGGCCUACCAAGCCGACGAUCUGUAGCUGGUCUGAGAGGACGACCAGCCACACUGGGACUGAGACACGGCCCAGACUCCUACGGGAGGCAGCAGUGGGGAAUUUUGGACAAUGGGCGCAAGCCUGAUCCAGCCAUUCCGCGUGCAGGACGAAGGCCUUCGGGUUGUAAACUGCUUUUGUACGGAACGAAAAGGCUCUGGCUAAUACCUGGGGCUCAUGACGGUACCGUAAGAAUAAGCACCGGCUAACUACGUG
rnacentral:rRNA from 1 species